rfam:Triticum urartu cultivar G1812 contig125771, whole genome shotgun sequence.
AUACUACUCCCUCUGUCCGGAAAUACUUGUCGGAGAAAUGAAUGUGUCUAGACGUAUUUUAAUUCUAGAUACAUCUAUUUUUAUGCAUUUCUUCGACAAGUAUUUCCGGACGGAGGGAGUAGAAU